rnacentral:rRNA from 1 species
CCUGGCUCAGAGCGAACGCUGGCGGCAGGCCUAACGCAUGCAAGUCGAACGGAUCCUUCGGGAUUAGUGGCGGACGGUGAGUAACACGUGGGAACGUGCCCUUUGGUUCGGAACAACUCAGGGAAACUUGAGCUAAUACCGGAUGUGCCCUUCGGGGGAAAGAUUUAUCGCCAUUGGAGCGGCCCGCGUAGGAUUAGCUAGUUGGUGGGGUAAUGGCCCACCAAGGCUCCGAUCCUUAGCUGGUCUGAGAGGAUGAUCAGCCACACUGGGACUGAGACACGGCCCAGACUCCUACGGGAGGCAGCAGUGGGGAAUCUUGCGCAAUGGGCGAAAGCCUGACGCAGCCAUGCCGCGUGAAUGAUGAAGGUCUUAGGAUUGUAAAAUUCUUUCACCGGGGACGAUAAUGACGGUACCCGGAGAAGAAGCCCCGGCUAACUUCGUGCCAGCAGCCGCGGUAAUACGAAGGGGGCUAGCGUUGCUCGGAAUUACUGGGCGUAAAGGGAGCGUAGGCGGACUGUUUAGUCAGAGGUGAAAGCCCAGGGCUCAACCUUGGAAUUGCCUUUGAUACUGGCAGUCUUGAGUACGGAAGAGGUAUGUGGAACUCCGAGUGUAGAGGUGAAAUUCGUAGAUAUUCGGAAGAACACCAGUGGCGAAGGCGACAUACUGGUCCGUUACUGACGCUGAGGCUCGAAAGCGUGGGGAGCAA